AUCAUUACUUUACAAGGUACAGAGGAUGUACCAGAUGACGCUAAUUUAAUAAAUCAAGGACACUUGAGAACCACCAUCAGAGGGCAUCAUUUAUAAAUGAUGUGCCAAAUACACUGCCACGAAUUAAAGAAUCUCUCCCAACUCCCCGCUUCCCUCCCAGCGCGAUACCGCACAAGUCGAGACGAAACGAUCCCCCUCCCCGCUUCCUCUCCCGGCCCCCGAAACUUUCCCAUGGCUGAGGGAGAUGACGGCCCCGCGUUGAGAGGGGGCGCCGGCCGGCCCGAGGCUGCCUUUCGGCGGCCGGCACUGUUCCUUCCGCUGAGGGAGGCUGAGGCGGUGCCCCGCUGCCCGCUCUCCUCCCGCAGGCGCCUCCCUCCCGCCCUCCGGGCAGAGCCGUAGGCAGGAGCCGCCCGACCCGAGCCGCCGCGGGAGUAGGUGCCGGGACGGGCGCGGCGAGCGCGGGUACUUGCCCAGCCUUCAUCCCAGUGUUCGAGUUCAUAACCUGGAUAGCCUGGGAAAUCGGCUUCGGAAAACUUCUUGCGGGUCUGUUGUGCAGCACCUCACGAGGCUGGCUGGAAGGAGAUGAGAUGGCGCACAGAACCAUGUGAAUUGAAAGGGACCCUUAAAGGCCAUCCUGUCCAACCCCCUGCAAUGGACAGGGACACCUGCAGCUUGAUCAGGUGCUCACAGCACCAUCCAGCAUGACCUUGGGUGUCUUCAGGGAUGGGGUAUCCAUUACCUCUCUGGGCAACCUGUAUCAGUGCCUCACCACUCUUAUCAUAAAGGCCUUUUUCCUCA